rnacentral:rRNA from 1 species
UACGUAGGCAGCGAGCGUUGUUCGGAGUUACUGGGCGUAAAGCGUGCGUAGGCGGUGGUCCAAGUCUGGUGUGAAAUCUCCGGGCUUAACUCGGAGCGGCCAAGUGAUACUGUCGUGCUAGAGUGCGGAAGGGGCAACUGGAAUUCUCGGUGUAGCGGUGAAAUGCGUAGAUAUCGAGAGGAACACCUGCGGCGAAGGCGGGUUGCUGGGCCGACACUGACGCUGAGGCGCGAAAGCCAGGGGAGCGAACGGG